rnacentral:lncRNA from 1 species
GGCAGACCUCCAGGACCAACAGAAGUGCUGCCUGCAGAAGGCUGUGGGACAGGUGGCAGCCAAGGAAGGGCUGAGUGCCUCCAGGACAGCCCCGCAGCCUCCAGCCUCCGGACUCCUGCUGGCCCGCUGCAGUGCAGGGUCAGGAAGCCGGCACAGCUCAGCACUGCACCCCUGCACAUCCCUGACCUCGCCUGCCCGGAGCCAGGGAUACAUCUCAGGGAGCAGAGCCGACAAGCUCAGAACGACACACCAGGGGAGGUGGGAGGAGCCGGGGCGAGAGCCUCUACCCUACUCACAGGAAGAGUGAAGUGCACCGAGGGUGGGUCCUCCUCUAGCGGCUGGAGACUGCUCAGAGCUGCCCUGGAGAUGAAGACUUGCUCACCUGGCCCCCAAACUCCUGAAAAGCCCUUCUCCAAGGACCACCUUCUGCAGGCAGGACACCAGCCCGAAGGCUGCAGCGCCGACCGGCCAGCAGGUGCCCGGGCAGGGCGGUGCUGGACACGGGAUCGCACGCAGCUGGGCACCUGUCUGCUACGCACUGCGGUGCCAGUGAGCUCCAGUCGGGCUCAGCGGGGCCGGCGGGGCAGACGCACCGGCCGGAGCCAGGGCUGCCUGUGCCCCUGCGGUUGCAGGGGUCUGCUGUGCCCCGGGGCCAUCUGAGGCCGCACCCCAGGGCCAGGGACAGUCCUCAGAGGCCAGCUCGGGUCCCUUGCACAGACGGAAACUGGGUGAAUAUUUUGGUUUCGUGGCAGCGGCUGCAGAACCCGUGGCUCUCUGCACGAGUGAAUUAGGGCAGCACCGCGUUGGCUUCCGUGUGCCUCCCCUCGGAUAAAUUGGAUGCUCCAAUCUUCUUCUUUUGUCCUAAAUUUCUCUCUAACAUUUUGUGCAGCUGUUAAGCAGCUGCGGCUUCCUGCUCCCGAGAAGGCUGAGGGGUGGUAGCUGCAGUGACUCACCCCCUCCCAGAGGGACGGCAGAGCCUGGCCAGCCACGCCAGGGUGUGCACAGCAGCUGGGGGGGGCAGUCCGUGCCCCCGAAAGCCACAGGUGAGAGCCGGGCACACACUGGCGGGGGCGGAGGGCUGGGGACCCCCGCCGAGUCAAGGGCAUGCACUCCAAGGCCAGGCCCUGGGUGUCACACAACCUUCCCAGGAGAAGUCCGAAAACGGCAGGCACCCAUCCCCGUGGACACUUCUAGAGGGAGACGUCCGCCUAUGAGGCCAAGCUUGGGGGGCACUGAGUGACCCUGGACAGUCUUUCAGAAAGUGAGUGUCAGGCCCCCUGUGUCUCAGGCCCCAGGGUUACAAGGAACUUGCUGUCCUCAGAAUGUGUGUCCUCGGGGCACCUGGGUGGCUCAGUCCAUUCAGCAUCUGGCUUCAGCUCAGGUGGUAAUCUCAGGGUCGUGGGAUCGAGUCCCACGUCGGGCUCCGUGCUCAGUGCGAGUGUACUUAGAAUUCUCUCUCUCCCUCUCCCUCUGCCUCGUCACCCUGGUGCACACUCUCUCUCACUCAAAUAAC